AAUGUUUAUAGAUGCAGAAAAAAAUAUAUAAAGAUGACACUGGUCACUACAGUAGCUGUUGUACGCGGUUGACUCUGACAGAACAGUACCUUAAAAUUUUUCGCUUCAGUCAGUAAAGCCCGGAGAUGUAGACUUGCUCUGGCUUUGUUGGGUUCUUCUGUAUUUCCAUCAGCAGGCAAAGUAUGUGAAAUUUUGUCUAAAGACUUUCCCAAAUCUCGUAAUUUGUCGAAAACUUCGAAAUGAGUCGCCAUCUUGGAAUUUUUUGAAAAUUUGCCGCCCGCCACUGGGCUAUAUACGGCUGUACUUUAUCAUAUUAUCA